AGUGAACGCUGGCGGUAGGCCUAACACAUGCAAGUCGAACGGCAGCACAGUAAGAGCUUGCUCUUACGGGUGGCGAGUGGAGGACGGGUGAGGAAUACAUCGGAAUCUACUUUUUCGUGGGGGAUAACGUAGGGAAACUUACGCUAAUACCGCAUACGACCUACGGGUGAAAGCAGGGGAUCUUCGGAUCUUGCGCGAAUGAAUGAGCCGAUGUCGGAUUAGCUAGUUGGCGGGGUAAAGGCCCACCAAGGCGACGAUCCGUAGCUGGUCUGAGAGGAUGAUCAGCCACACUGGAACUGAGACACGGUCCAGACUCCUACGGGAGGCAGCAGUGGGGAAUAUUGGACAAUGGGCGCAAGCCUGAUCCAGCCAUACCGCGUGGGUGAAGAAGGCCUUCGGGUUGUAAAACCCUUUUGUUGGGAAAGAAAAGCAGCAGGUUAAUACCCCGCUGUUCUGACGGUACCCAAAGAAUAAGCACCGGCUAACUUCGUG
rnacentral:rRNA from 1 species